AAUCUUUUACUAUUUUGGAUCUCAUGAAUCAACCUGAUGUAGAUAAAUCACCUACAUGGGCUUAUUUUAUUGGAAAUAAUCUUUGGGUUGGAUUAUGUGAGUAUUGGGCCUUUGAUUCAAUGGGUUUUCUUUGUAAUGGGCCACUUUAAUGAGCCUAUAAUAUGGGUAGAGGUUA